GGGCGAUUAGCUCAGUUGGCUAGAGCGCAUCCUUGACGUGGAUGAGGUCACAGGUUCGAGCCCUGUAUCGCCCA
rnacentral:tRNA from 1 species